ACGCUCGACACCUACGGAGGCAGCAGUGGGGAAUAUUGGGCAAUGGGCGCAAGCCUGACCCAGCAACGCCGCGUGAAGGAAGAAGGCUUUCGGGUUGUAAACUUCUUUUGUCAGGGAACAGUAGAUGAGGGUACCUGACGAAUAAGCUCCGGCUAACUACGUGUCAGCAGCCGCGGUAAUCUGAGCGGGCUGGCAAGGC
rnacentral:rRNA from 1 species